rnacentral:rRNA from 1 species
UACAGAGGGGGCAAGCGUUAUUCGGAAUUAUUGGGCGUAAAGGGCGCGUAGGCGGCUUGGCAAGUGGAUGGUGAAAUCCCUCGGCUUAACCGAGGAACUGCCGUCCAAACUGCUUCGCUUGAGACCGGGAGAGGUGAGUGGAAUUCCCAGUGUAGCGGUGAAAUGCGUAGAUAUUGGGAGGAACACCAGUGGCGAAGGCGGUGGGCUGGGCCGGAACUGACGCUGAGGAGCGAAAGCGUGGGGAGCGAACAGG